UUGUAAAGAACAGAUGAGAUAAAGUGAGACGGAAUGAUGGUGUUAAUGGGACUAUUCCAUCACGAAAACAGCAUGGAAAAUUCUGCUGAAACAAACCUUUCCAAAGUCAGUGAUAAACAUCUCUUGCCAAAUGCAAAUGCCUCAUUCAGACCUGACCUCCAGCAGUUCCAACAAGGUAACCUUCAUGGAAGAGUCACAUUCAGGAAUAUUUGGUGCAGAUGCCAGAGGCAGAGAAAAAAUUUUCUUUAAAACCACCAUGAGAUUCAGUCUCUUCUGCUCCAUACACAAGGUUGUGCAGACCUAAAGGGAGGAGAGGAACAUGCAGCUGUGGCAAACCUCAGAGCUGCUGAAGUUGUGUGGAAGGCAAACUGAAAUGUAAAGCCUAGUCUCGGCACCAAAGGCCCCAGGGAAGCUGCAGAGCCAUGUGGGGAGAGUUACGGUGUUUGCUUCUGAUGUGCUUGUCUGGGGUGGGUUGAGGUCUCUAGGAAGCAGAGGAAAGUAUCCAUCUGUCUAAAGUUCCCAUGAGGUGGAGCAGGGCUAUUUCUGUUUUACAGAUGACAAAUGGAUCUCUUCAAAGGCUAAUUCCAGUCACUGAACACCAAAAAACUGGGCUGCUCGUCUGAAGAAGCCCCUCUGUUUCCACAAGCUGUAGGAAAAACAAAGAUUUGUUUAGCUAUAGGCAACCUUCCAUUAAUCUCCCCCACUUUAACCCUCCCCCAAAGAGAGAAUUUUUCUAGGUCAUGCAGAAGAGAUUAAAUAGUACCUUAGAGCAAGGAAUGUCUCCCCCUCCUUAUAAUUGCCAGGCUGGC